rnacentral:sRNA from 1 species
AAAACUAAUUAUUUUGAAAAAACGAUUUAAUGCUAAUGGCAUUGGGUUGUAAAUAAGUCCAACUCGAAGAUUUAUUUGUUAAAAUGGCUGCAAAAAUAUAUAUAUAGAUGAUCUAACAGAUUUUAACAUUGGAUGGAUUACUUUAAGAUGGUUUGAUUUGAUUGCUGAAUUACAUUGGAAUAUGUCACAAU